rnacentral:rRNA from 1 species
GACGAACGCUGGCGGCGUGCCUAAUACAUGCAAGUAGAACGCUGAAGCGAGGAGCUUACUCUUCUUGGAUGAGUUGCGAACGGGUGAGUAACGCGUAGGUAACCUGCCUUGUAGCGGGGGAUAACUAUUGGAAACGAUAGCUAAUACCGCAUAACAAUGGAUGACACAUGUCAUUUAUUUGAAAGGGGCAAUUGCUCCACUACAAGAUGGACCUGCGUUGUAUUAGCUAGUAGGUGAGGUAAUGGCUCACCUAGGCGACGAUACAUAGCCGACCUGAGAGGGUGGUCGGCCACACUGGGACUGGGACACGGCCCAGACUCCUACGGGAGGCAGCAGUAGGGAAUCUUCGGCAAUGGGGGCAACCCUGACCGGGCAACGCCGCGUGAGUGAAGAAGGUUUUCGGAUCGUAAAGCUCGGUUGUAAGUCAAGAACGGGUGUGGGAGUGGAAAGUUCACACUGUGACGGUAGCUUACCAGAAAGGGACGGCUAACUACGUG